CAGGGAUUCCCACAUAGGGAGGCAGCUGCGCCACCUAGUGGACUUUUCCAUCCUCGCGGGCAUCCCUCCCACCCUUCGCCGCCUGCAGCCUGGAUAUGGCACAGCUUCAGGCAAGACACACACAGAAGCCGCUGUCCGGGGGCGGGCCCUGUGCCCAGAAUUCUAGAAGCCUGAAUGUUUCCAUAGCAACAAACCAAUGCGCUUGGAAAUCUGAGCAUGUUCCUGUGGACACAGGGGAACCCCUGAUGCGCAUGGAGAGCUUGACAAUGCGGAAUCUGGACGUCACCUGUCUAGCCACCAGUCACUGUGGAUGCGAGCAUGCUCCUGAGUGUGAGGCUGUGUGUGUGUGUGUGUGUGUGUGUGUGUGUGAUAUGCAGCAAAUGAGAUUUAGGUUAAAGAGCGCCUAACCUGGUUUCCUGGGCAUAUGGUAGCUGUUAGCGUGGUUCUGCAGCAUCUUACCCUCUGGGGAUCUUUCUAGAAUGAAUGCCUCCCCUAUAUUUUACCAUGGUAGCUUCCUCUCCUUUCCGAUGGAAAAAUGGGCCAAAAUUGCUCAGAGGCUGAUGGUGAAGGCGAUGCCCCUCAGAGGGCUAGUUGACUGGAGGACUCCAAGGAAAGACAAAAGGGACAUCUCACAUCCCCCACUGUGACCUCACUUCAGGGGGCUCUUGGCUAGCUUGGCACAUGCCCUAUGCACAUACCCUGUGAUGCCAGGGAAGGAGGAGGGAAGCCUAGUGUAGGGGCACUUUGCCAAACUUGGGGUCCAGAGCCUGGGUCUAGGUCCUAUUCACACCCCCUACCCACCCCAUGGCCUGCUUCCUCAAUUUUCCUUCCACAGGUUGAGCUAUUUCUCUGAUCCCUUUUUCCUCCCUUACGGCUCUUUUCCUUUGUCAAUCUCUCCUCCAUACCUGCCUCUGCUCCUCUGCCAGCCUUUCCCUCCCCCUUGGUUCCAGCUUCCCGGGGGCUCAUCCCCAGUCAGUUGUGCUUCUUGGCCCCUGGAGCUCUGGCUCUGCUUCCCAGGGCUCCGACCCCAUGCCCUGCAGCUCCCUCCUCCUCCUUUCCUCUAACCUAGCCCAGCAGUUAGGGCUGGACCCCUGCCUUUCCUGGUGUCACAAAGGUUGUGCCUCUUUGUCUCAGCCCUUGGUUCCCUCUCUGUCCCCAGGGCUGGUUUCUCCACAAGCCCUUGUCUUGGCUUCCCCAUCUCUGCUUAUUCGCUCAAUGUGUCUGGCUCAACCCCCUUUGGCAUUUUUGGCCUUUCUAGGCACAGUCCCUGAGGCCUGCCCCACAGCUCCAUAUCUUAUCCUGUCCCCACUGGGGGCCUCACUGGGAUCUUUGUCCCCCAGAGCCUACACCUAGCACUUUUUGUUGGAUACCAGAAGGUCCACUGAACACUUGGGAGAUGUGGUCUGGCACGAUGUCUCACGCCUGUAAUCCC